rnacentral:rRNA from 2 species
GAGUUUGAUCCUGGCUCAGGAUGAACGCUAGCUACAGGCUUAACACAUGCAAGUCGAGGGGCAGCAUGGUCUUAGCUUGCUAAGGCCGAUGGCGACCGGCGCACGGGUGAGUAACACGUAUCCAACCUGCCGUCUACUCUUGGACAGCCUUCUGAAAGGAAGAUUAAUACAAGAUGGCAUCAUGAGUCCGCAUGUUCACAUGAUUAAAGGUAUUCCGGUAGACGAUGGGGAUGCGUUCCAUUAGAUAGUAGGCGGGGUAACGGCCCACCUAGUCUUCGAUGGGUAGGGGUUCUGAGAGGAAGGUCCCCCACAUUGGAACUGAGACACGGUCCAAACUCCUACGGGAGGCAGCAGUGAGGAAUAUUGGUCAAUGGGCGAGAGCCUGAACCAGCCAAGUAGCGUGAAGGAUGACUGCCCUAUGGGUUGUAAACUUCUUUUAUAAAGGAAUAAAGUCGGGUAUGGAUACCCGUUUGCAUGUACUUUAUGAAUAAGGAUCGGCUAACUCCGUGCCAGCAGCCGCGGUAAUACGGAGGAUCCGAGCGUUAUCCGGAUUUAUUGGGUUUAAAGGGAGCGUAGAUGGAUGUUUAAGUCAGUUGUGAAAGUUUGCGGCUCAACCGUAAAAUUGCAGUUGAUACUGGAUAUCUUGAGUGCAGUUGAGGCAGGCGGAAUUCGUGGUGUAGCGGUGAAAUGCUUAGAUAUCACGAAGAACUCCGAUUGCGAAGGCAGCCUGCUAAGCUGCAACUGACAUUGAGGCUCGAAAGUGUGGGUAUCAAACAGGAUUAGAUACCCUGGUAGUCCACACGGUAAACGAUGAAUACUCGCUGUUUGCGAUAUACAGCAAGCGGCCAAGCGAAAGCGUUAAGUAUUCCACCUGGGGAGUACGCCGGCAACGGUGAAACUCAAAGGAAUUGACGGGGGCCCGCACAAGCGGAGGAACAUGUGGUUUAAUUCGAUGAUACGCGAGGAACCUUACCCGGGCUUAAAUUGCAGAUGAAUUACGGUGAAAGCCGUAAGCCGCAAGGCAUCUGUGAAGGUGCUGCAUGGUUGUCGUCAGCUCGUGCCGUGAGGUGUCGGCUUAAGUGCCAUAACGAGCGCAACCCUUGUUGUCAGUUACUAACAGGUCAUGCUGAGGACUCUGACAAGACUGCCAUCGUAAGAUGUGAGGAAGGUGGGGAUGACGUCAAAUCAGCACGGCCCUUACGUCCGGGGCUACACACGUGUUACAAUGGGGGGUACAGAGGGCCGCUACCACGCGAGUGGAUGCCAAUCCCCAAAACCUCUCUCAGUUCGGACUGGAGUCUGCAACCCGACUCCACGAAGCUGGAUUCGCUAGUAAUCGCGCAUCAGCCACGGCGCGGUGAAUACGUUCCCGGGCCUUGUACACACCGCCCGUCAAGCCAUGGGAGCCGGGGGUACCUGAAGUGCGUAACCGCGAGGAGCGCCCUAGGGUAAAACUGGUGACUGGGGCUAAGUCGUAACAAGGUAGCCGUACCGGAAGGUGCGGCUGGAACACC